UUUAUAUACUAUCUUGUCCCAAAAAUAUAUAAAAGAAAUUUAAAAUUUUACAGUAAAAGAGAAAAUAACUCAAUAACAUAAAUUGGAAAUAGGCAUGAUGGGAAAAAAUGUGAAACAACAAAGGCAGGAACAUAAAAUGAAACCUACAAUGAAGCUAAUACAAAAAGUCAUAAAGCAAACCACCUCGUAACCUAAGUGAAAUAUUCUUGGUGAUUAUAGUCAUUUCUGUUUAUGGCAGCUUAAACUGUCUUUAGAGUUCUCUUUGGAGGGGGAUUCUCUUGAUAGAUUCCAUUUGUUCAUACUGUAAGUAUGGCAAGUGUGGCACACACAGGCUGGCUGCUCUUACUUCCCCCGUGACUCAUGCAACUAUUUCCUUGUUGACCGUGUGGGUGAAGGAGGACGAACUCGUUGAGAGGAAAUUCCUGAGAUGCAUGUGCCAUCUGCUGGGCACAGAGUGGGUGCUUAGUUAACAGGUGUAGCGAGAUGACAUACUAUAAUACUCCGGAUGCACUUUUCUUUCCCUGUGCAAUCAGAGACACACAUUUGUAGGAGAAUAAAGUUGUUAUGGCAGGAAUGGGAAGAGAAAGAGCCAGUCAAUAUUUUGUUUCAGAAUUCCAAAAUAGGUUUUGAAAGCCACAUCAGUACAAUCAUUUUGAAAGUCAAGGCUUUUGAUUUUCUAAAAUAGUAUUUGAUUAGAGGAAAAAAAAUAUCCUUGAAGAUAAAAAAGUCAAGUUCUCUGAUAGAUUGGAAUUAAGCAUAGAGUAAGACCAAGAUCACACUGACCGCAGGGAGAGUAGGCGAGCAUCAGCCUGGGAGGGAGCAAGAAGAAUCAUGGGGUCAGUAGGGUGGGCAGUAAAGGGGCUGAAUUGAGUGACUCCGCGGAUAGACAAAGUCGGCACCGAGGUUUCUCUACACUGUUUUUCUUAGUGUCGGGAAUUGGAGACAUCUGUAGACCGUCCAAUGUCAUGGCAGCUAGCACUGCGUCAUGCCUGUUUUGCAGAGCCAUGAUAGCUGUUCUGCUUGAGUCUAGUGACAGCCAUCAUUAACAGCCAACUGCACGUUGUUGCUUAUGGAUUGUUCAUCAGAAGUGUCUGUCUGAAUUUUAAGAAUUGCUGAGCAGCAUUCAAAUCACCCUAUAUGGACAUCUCAUUUUGAAUGGCUCAAGAAAUAUAUAAAUCUACAAAACAGAAAAUGCUGUGUUUGGUUUAGAGAGAGGAGUAAAGGAAAGCCACCGGGGUCUGUGGGAAUGAAUUGUGCUGAAAGAUCGGCUGUGUGUAGCCCUCGUUCAAAGAGAGAGAAAGAGAAAGAGAAUCUCUUUUGGAUGAGUCCACUCUUCCACUUGCUUUGAAGACUAAUAUAAAGUAGUUUCUAUGAUACCUGCCCAUAAUUUACAUAAAAAAUAUUAGGCUACGUUGAGGAUUCGUUGCUGAGAUAAACACUAGGGAAGGUGUCUCCCUCUGUGGAUCUUCCAUCCUUGUGCGGACAGCCCACACUGAACCAAUAGUCACUCUGAUAAACAUACAGUUCACACGCUUGUGAGUGCUCAAGAAGAAAGUUCUGUUGUCCUCAGAAAGAGUAUGUUAAAGAGGUAGCUUAGAAUGGGAGGCUCAGGGAAUAGUUUCCCUUAUGCCAAGACCUGAAACAGGCGUAGAGUUAGUUGGGAAUAGGGGCAUGGAGGGGACAAGGGUGGCGCUGGGGAAGGGAGGAGUGUUCCAAGCAGAAGAGAAGGCCUGGGCAAGUUCUCACAGUAGAGAAAAGUAUUGACUCUGAGGCUCUGGAAGAAAGUCAGAGCAUCCAGAGCAAGGAGGUAAAGAGGAAGUGGUGGUGAGUCCUGAACACUUGUCACAGCCAGGCGAUCAAGACCUUGCAUGCCAGGUUAAGGACUUUGGUCUUUAUCCAAAAAGUGGUGUGAAGUUGUGGUGGGUUUUAAACACCAGGAUGACACCAUCAAAUCUGCAUUUUGAAAAUAUCAUUCUGUAUCUUACAAUUUAUGGAAAAUAAAUUGGUGAGAGAGGCCAGAAAGGAUGGAGGGAGAUGAACGGGGAGGCUGGAGAAAGAUUCUUGGUGAGAGAUGAUGAUAGCUUAGCCUAAAGAUGCCAUCAUGAAGACAGACUGAAAGGUACUGAGGGAGUCAAUAAUGGAUGAAAAUGAUCGUGGGGCCAGAAGUGACUUGUAGCUUUAUGACAUAAACAAUCAGACAUAUGGUGACAUCAGUAACUACAGGAAGCAACAUUGGAAGAUAGCUAUGUUCAAGGUGUGGGAGAGAUCUUAAGUGAGUUGUUCAACACAUCAUCUUAAGACACUUUUUAGAUACCCAAAACAUAGAUAUUUGGACAUAUGGGUCUAGAGCCCAGAGGAGAGGUCUGGAAUGAAGUCACAGCCCAGAUAGAAAGUGAAGCAGGACAAAGAUUGUUUCUGUGGGGAAAGAGUGAAGAGUGCAGAACGAGGAGGCCAGAGCCUCAGGAAUUCUAACGUUAACUAUAAACCCUGUCGGUUUUGAGGACAUAGAGCAGGAGUGUUAAAAUUCUUAAAGUUGCCUCAGGGGCUGCAAGAGAACAAAAGGCAAAGCAUCUGGGGACCCAGAUCCCCCCCAGCUCCACCUGAAGCAGCUCUCCUCCUCCUGUUUGGAAUGGAGCUCCAGUUUUGCUAAAACAAAUCAGACCUCUGUGAACAUCUGCAUAAUGUCUCUGGGAUUAUGGGCAAGAGUUUCUGAUGGUUUUAUACCUGGAAUUGGAUUUUGGUGUCAUGACUUCUCCCGGAUAUCGUCAGAUCAUUUUCCAAAGUUAUUUUGUCAAAUUACGUUCCACCAACAUUUGUUCCACAUCCUCACAAACACUGAGUAUUGUCAGACUUUUCAAUAUUUUUCAUCUG
rnacentral:lncRNA from 1 species